UGACGUAGACGCUAUUCCCUAAGAUUAACCCAUGCAUGUUUUUGACAUUUGAAAAAUGGACUGCUCAGUAAUACUCACUUUAUUUUAUGUAAAUUUUUGAUUAAUUAACUACGUUAAAGUGUAGAUAAGAUGUUUACAGUAAGAGUGAGACCUAUCAGCUAGUUGUUAAGGUAAUGGCUUAACAAGGCUGUGACGGGUAACGGUAUUACUUUGUAAUAUUCCGGAGAAGGAGCCUGAGAGACGGCUACUAAGUCUAAGGAUUGCAGCGGGGGCGAAACUUGACCUAUGGAUUUUAUCUGAGGCAGUUAUGGGAAGUAAUAUUAUAUUGUUUCAUAUUUUAAAAGUAUAUGAGGUGAUUAAUUGGAGGGCAAAUCAAGUGCCAGCAGCCGCGGUAAUACUUGUUCCAAGAGUGUGUAUGAUGAUUGAUGCAGUUAAAAAGUCCGUAGUUUAUUUUUUUAAGAAGCAAUAUGAGGUGUACUGUAUAGUUGGGAGAAAGAUGAAAUGUGACGACCCUGACUGGACGAACAGAAGCGAAAGCUGUACACUUGUAUGUAUUUUUUGAACAAGGACGUAAGCUGGAGGAGCGAAGAUGAUUAGAUACCAUUGUAGUUCCAGCAGUAAACUAUGCCGACGAUGUGAUAUGAAAAUAUUAAUUUGUGUUACAUAAUAGAAAUUUGAGUUUUUUGGCUCUGGGGAUAGUAUGAUCGCAAGAUUGAAAAUUAAAGAAAUUGACGGAAGAAUACCACAAGGAGUGGAUUGUGCGGCUUAAUUUGACUCAACGCGAGGUAACUUACCAAUAUUUUAUUAUUUUGAGAGAACGGUUUUUUGUUUGAGAAUGAUAAUAGUGGUGCAUGGCCGUUUUCAAUGGAUGCUGUGAAGUUUUGAUUAAUUUCAACAAGACGUGAGACCCUUGUUUUUUAUUAAAGACAGACACAAUCAGUGUAGGAAGGAAAGGAUUAAAACAGGUCCGUUAUGCCCUCUGACAUUUUGGGCUGCACGCGCAAUACAAUAGAUAUAUAAUCUUUAUAGGAUAAUAUUUUGUAAGAGAUAUUUGAACUUGGAAUUGCUAGUAAAUUUUAUUAAAUAAGUAGAAUUGAAUGUGUCCCUGUUCUUUGUACACACCGCCCGUCGCUAUCUAAGAUGAUAUAUGUUGUGAAAUUAGUGAAAACUACUUAAACAAUAUGUAUUAGAUCUGAUAUAAGUCGUAACAUGGUUGCUGUUGGA
rnacentral:rRNA from 1 species